rnacentral:rRNA from 1 species
CGGCCCCCUGGACAAGACUGACGCUCAGGUGCGAAAGCGUGGGGAGCAAACAGGAUUAGAUACCUGGUAGUCACGCUGUAAACGAUGUCGAUUUGAAGGUUGUUCCCUUGAGGAGUGGCUUUCGGAGCUAACGCGUUAAAUCGACCGCUGGGGAGUACGGCCGCAAGGUUAAAACUCAAAUGAAUUGACGGGGGCCCGCACAAGCGGUGGAGCAUGUGGUUUAAUUCGAUGCAACGCGAAGAACCUUACCUACUCUUGACAUCCAGAGAAUUUAGCAGAGAUGCUUUAGUGCCUUCGGGAACUCUGAGACAGGUGCUGCAUGGCUGUCGUCAGCUCGUGUUGUGAAAUGUUGGGUUAAGUCCCGCAACGAGCGCAACCCUUAUCCUUUGUUGCCAGCACGUAAUGGUGGGAACUCAAAGGAGACUGCCGGUGGUAAACCGGAGGAAGGUGGGGAUGACGUCAAGUCAUCAUGGCCCUUACGAGUAGGGCUACACACGUGCUACAAUGGCGUAUACAAAGAGAAGCGAACUUGCGAGAGUAAGCGGAACUCAUAAAGUACGUCGUAGUCCGGAUUGGAGUCUGCAACUCGACUCCAUGAAGUCGGAAUCGCUAGUAAUCGUAGAUCAGAAUGCUACGGUGAAUACGUUCCCGGGCCUUGUACACACCGCCCGUCACACCAUGGGAGUGGGUUGCAAAAGAAGUAGGUAGCUUAACCUUCGGGAGGGCGCUUACCACUUUGUGAUUCAUGACUGGGGUGAAGUCGUAACAAGGUAACCA